UUUCUCUGGUUUAUUGCUGUCAUCAAUAAAGAAUGGCAACAUCACCUUAAAAGUGCAAGUGCAACCUUCAGACACCUGAAGAAAUGGGGGUUUGAAGAUUGCAACAUCAGAUCCAAAACCAGACUCAUGGUUUAUCAAGCAGACAUGAACUCCAGCUUACUGUGCAGAGCUGAG